rnacentral:rRNA from 1 species
GUGCCAGCAGCCGCGGUAAUACGGAGGGUGCGAGCGUUAAUCGGAAUUACUGGGCGUAAAGGGUGCGUAGGCGGUUGAAUCAGUCGGAUGUGAAAGCCCCGGGCUUAACCUGGGAAUUGCAUUCGAUACUGUUCGGCUAGAGUACGAUAGAGGGUGGUGGAACUCCAGGUGUAGCGGUGAAAUGCGUAGAUGUCUGGAAGAACACCAGUGGCGAAGGCGGCCACCUGGAUCGUAACUGACGCUGAGGCACGAAAGCGUGGGGAGUAAACAGGAUUAGAUACCCUGGUAGUCCACGCCCUAAACAAUGAGAACUAGCCGCUGGGAGGAUUAACCUUUCAGUGGCGUAGCUAACGCGUUAAGUUCUCCGCCUGGGGAGUACGGCCGCAAGGUUGAAACUCAAAGGAAUUGGCGG